GGAGGAGAGAGGCCGCCUCCAUCUGGCCGCCGCUGGCCGUGCUUGCGGGGGAGGAAGGAGGUUGUCUCCAUUUGGCCGCCGUCGGGCGCGUCCACGCGGAGGAGCUAUCACCAUCGCCUCUCGUUUCCCCACGCCGCACAAGGUAGGCCAUGUCCACCUCGAGUCCAUCUCGGGAGAAGAUGCUCCCCUGCGUUGACCCCCUGCAGUCGUGAUUCAUCUGCUCCAUAAUAUCUGUAUACACAACAAACAAUCUCUAUCUGCAGGCCGCAGUGAAUUGCAGCGCCUCAAGAACAGCUGAGCAGCCGGUUUUCAAGAUUACUGUGCCAGCGUACCGUUCAUGAUAGGAGUGAGAGCACGAGUAGCAGCAUCAGAUUCCGCGUGCUCUGUGUAGGAGCAUUGUCGGAGUUCAAUUCGUAGCAAGAACAACACUUGUGCCGAGCUGUUUCGAGCCACGGCACCAGCAGUCAUCUGGCAUGUGCUCACAAGGAAGGAAACGUCCGUGUUGAGUUUAACAUGGCCAUUAGCUGGCCNNNNNNN
rnacentral:lncRNA from 1 species